rnacentral:ncRNA from 1 species
ACGAGCCACAUGCAGGGAAACUUGCACGUGUGGUUCUGGCCGGAGACCCCGGCAU